rnacentral:rRNA from 1 species
AUUGAACGUUGGCGGCGUGGAUUAGGCAUGCAAGUCGAGCGGAAAGGCCCCGCAAGGGGCACUCGAGCGGCGAAAGGGAUAGUAACGCGUGGACAACCUGCCCUGGGGACGGGGAUAGCUGGGGGAAACUCCAAUUAAUACCCGAUGACGUCUCCGGACCAAAGGUGUGAUUCCGCCCUGGGAGGGGUCCGCGUCCUAUCAGCUAGUUGGUGAGGUAACGGCUCACCAAGGCAACGACGGGUAGCGGGUGUGAGAGCACGACCCGCAUCACUGGGACUGAGACACUGCCCAGACACCUACGGGUGGCUGCAGUGGAGAAUCUUCGUCAAUGGGCGAAAGCCUGAACGAGCGACGCCGCGUGCGGGAUGAAGGCCUUCGGGUUGUAAACCGCUGUCAGUGGGGAGGAAAUGCCGGAGGGAUCACCCUCCGGUUUGACCGACCCGCAGAGGAAGGACGGGCUAAGUUCGUGCCAGCCGCCGCUGUAAUAC